rnacentral:rRNA from 1 species
CGUGUAGGCGGUCGGUCAAGUCCGGUGUGAAAGCCCGGAGCUCAGCUCCGGAAGUGCAUCGGAAACUAGCCGACUAGAGCGCGAUAGAGGAGGGUGGAAUUCCUGGUGUAGCGGUGAAAUGCGUAGAUAUCAGGAGGAACACCGGCGGCGAAGGCGGCCCUCUGGCUCGUUGCUGACGCUGAUACGCGAAAGCGUGGGGAGCAAACAGGAUUAGAUACCCUGGUAGUCCACGCUGUAAACGAUCAGGACUGGGCGUGGGUCUCGUACGGGGCUCGUGCCGCAGCUAAACGCGUUAAGUCCUGCGCCUGGGGAGUACGGUCGCAAAGGCUGAA